UCGUGUGCCAACAUAAACAAAGUUGGGGCGGCAACACCAAAACAAGGCAUCCAUGAAAGAAGAGGUGACUUCACAACCACCUAGCUGCAGAAUCUCCACUUGAGGUAUAUCUAAACCAUCUCCAACAUAUAAAGCCCCAUAAUCAGAGUUGGUGACGUACAAACCUAGGAGCAGUGAAACUCGGGAUUGGCUCAGAGCUUUCAGAAGUUGGUGCAACGAAGAGAACCACGAAGCACUAG
rnacentral:lncRNA from 1 species